rnacentral:misc_RNA from 1 species
CGCACAUUGCGCCCCUCGGUAUUCCGUGGGGCAUGCCUGUUCGAGCGUCAUUUACACCCUCAAGCUCUGCUUGGUGUUGGGCGUCUGUCUCGCGGUUACGCGUGACUCGCCUCAAAGUCAUUGGCAGCGGUCUUGUUAGCUUCUUGCGCAGCACAUUGCGUCUUAAGACUCUGGCGGAUCGGCGACCAUUAAGCUAUUCUAUGACUUGACCUCGGAUCAGGUAGGGAUACCCGCUGAACUUAA